rnacentral:lncRNA from 1 species
CCGCAUCAACCAAAAUCCAAACUCAGUUGGUAUAUAUGGAGUUCAUUUCGGAUUUCAUGGUAUUGAGCUAUUUGUCAAAGUUACUACUCAUGACAGCUUUCGAAUAGGUUGUGGAAUCAUCAUUCUCAAUGAUGUGGGAUAUUGUCAUUCUUAAUGAUAAAUCCAUAUCUGAGUGGUAUAUUACGCACUCUAUUCGACCUUCGAAAAGGAGGUG